rnacentral:rRNA from 1 species
AGAUUGAACGCUGGCGGCAGGCCUAACACAUGUAAGUCGAGCGGUAGAGAGGUGCUUGCACCUCUUGAGAGCGGCGGACGGGUGAGUAAGGCCUAGGAAUCUGCCUGGUAGUGGGGGAUAACGCUCGGAAACGGACGCUAAUACCGCAUACGUCCUACGGGAGAAAGCGAGGGGACCUUCGGGCCUUGCGCUAUCAGAUGAGCCUAGGUCGGAUUAGCUAGUUGGUAGAGGUAUGGCUCACCGAAGGCGACGAUCCGUAACUGGUCUGAGAGGAUGAUCAGUCACACGUAGGAACUGAACGACGACGGUCCAGUACCUCCGUAACGGGGA